GCUAAAUAGGUUUCAAAAUUCUAAAUAAGUUAGGAAUCCCCCUUCUAAGUCAUUACAAAACGGAUCACCCACUGAAUCAUUCUGCUUUCAUCUGCGAGCAUGUUGAAAAACACAUCUGAUUUAUACUGGAGAUCUGUGUCUACGAUGUGAUUCUGUUAUGGUAAUCCUUCAUCAGGUUUAUCUUUCAUAACUUCUUCAUACUGGCAGACAGACACGAAUGUGUGGCGGGCAGAAACUAGAACACAGAAAGUUCUACACUAAUGCAAGGAAGAACUCCUUUACUGUCAGAGUGAUGGAGCACUGGAACAGGUUGCCCAGUGAAGUGGUGGAGUCUGCUUCCCUGGAGAUAUUCAAGACCCAUCUGGAUGCCUGUCUAUGAGACCUGCUGUAGGAUAUCUGCUUUAGGGGGAGUUGGAUUAUAUGAUCUCUAGAAGUCCCUUCCAAUCCCUACAAUUCUGUGAUUCUGUGAUAUUAAACACACAACAGCUGUGGAUGGUGCAGAAAAACUGAGCUGAUGAGUCACUUUGUUGAGGAGAAGCUUUUGAUAUUCAGCAUUGCUUUAUCAUCUAGAAAGUGUGGCUACUUCCGAAAACAUGGAUGAGAUCAUGCCUUUCUCCCUCAUUAAGCCUAUUAUACCUCUGACUAUCCUUCUGCUCUGGUCUUGACUGUAUUUCUGCUUAUAGGUUGUAGCAUUGCUUACCAGAUUCAGCAGCCUUGGGACAUUCUUCCAACUUUCUGACCAAUAAUCUUAAAAUAGCUAAUAAUAAUUCUGUCUUCCACAUAGUGAACCCUAAUUUAUUAAGCUUCUUGCACUUACUUCAUUUUGAGCAAUAUUUGCCCAUUGAGAUGCUCCUCUACAGGUGAUCCCAGUAUUGCAAUCUUGCCUUGUAAUUUCAGAGAUAAAAAAGGAGGGUUGUUCUGCAAGCAGAGAAUCACUGAAGUACCUGAGCCUUCAGCUGAGCAGUCAGUUGGUGAAAUAUCAACGAAAAGAAGAGAGAAAAAACAGUCAACGCAGUCUUUCACAUCUCAUGUCUUUUUUCAUUGGAGAUAGAUGUAAAAGAAAAACUCUGGGAACUAUGGAAGAAUCAGCAUCCCACAGUGACUUCUACCUGCCCUUUGAACUGAAUAACAUGUAAUUGCCCCAUUUCACGUAACUAUUUCCUGUGGUGGAGAAAACAUGAAGCUCCUGGUUGAUACUGGAAUAGUUGCGAGCAUCUUUGCUGAACACAGAUACAGUGAGUGAUAGAGGCCUUAAAAACAGCAGUAGCAAAUGAAUAACGAACAGGACAGUCACAGGCAAGCAUCCAAAACAUUUAAUUGCACGCUGAACUUACAUUUGUUUAGUGGGAACGUCGUUAUGUCUCACCGAAGUGUCACACUGUCUGUCUAAUGCCCACUGGGCUUGAGUUCAGCAACAUGAUGGAUAGCUCAAUUUACUGAGUAAGCAAAGAGUUCUCCUUGAAUGUUAGACACUAAUCUUCUGAUUGGAUUCAUUUGGCAGGGAGAAUUGCCCCCUGAAGUUUACUAGUAAGAGCUAAUCCAACUAUUGAUAAGGGUGUAAGAGAUCAAUGCAUGUGUUAUUAGCAAAGUACUGAAUUCAACUGCUCCCCAGCUACUGCUGCAGAAAAAGUGUAAAGCUAUUUUCUACCUUUAAAUAAAUAAAUAAAUAAAUAUCAUCGCUACACUGAGGCAAUUUAGCAAUAUUUAAUUAAGGUCAGGGUAUUCUUUCUUCAUGUGAAGGGGCUUUAUACUGAAAAUUGAGAAGCAUAAAAAUUGCAAGCCAUUUAUGUGCAUGUAGAAUUGCACAUUCAAUCCCCAACCCCCUUUCAAUCUUUUAAAACUGAAGAUUAAAGUUAGAGAAGAUAACAGAUUGAACCCAGAAAAAUUCUUCCACCUAUUUUUACAUCUUCCAGAGAAAUUCUCAGUGAUCUUGUCCAAGUUGCUUGCUUUCCCUCUUUUUCAUCCUUUCUUUUUUUUUAUAUAGACAACAAAAAGUAUAUAUCCUUCUUUGCAUCAGCUAUUUGAGUCUUUGGUGGUGCAACCCCCUUGGACCACUCUGCAAUCUCAGAGUAAGCUCACUUUGAACUUUUGCCUUCAUACAAGAGCAGUGAGUUGGGACGACCCAGCACUCCCUGUUCCGUGCUAGGAACUGCUGCUCCUUGCAUUGUGGCCUGACAUGAGAGGUACCAGAAUGACAAAAUAUGGGGAGAACUGGAAGUGUGUUGCUGGGAGAAAGCUCCAGGAUUAUCUCACCUGGACUGUGGCCAGAAUGAAAAGUUUUCUGACUGAAGUAAAUUAACUCAUCGUCCUAUAAAUAAUGCUUCUAAGGGAUGAGCUCCUUGAUCCUUGAUCUCCACCUGGGCUGGGAUACCUCUCAGGUUAGACUUCUCGAGAUUCAACUCAAACUGGUGUUGACAAGGAAGAGCCGUCUUUCAGACAGGUUCCAAUUGUCUACUGAGAGCAGAUGAAAAGGAAGAAUGAGUCCUGAAAAGUGCAAUUAAUUUAGAAACUUCCUCCCAGUACCCUACAGCAAGUCUCAUGGGAACCUUACCAUUCUUGAAUCUUUAACGAAGUGACUGUAUUUGACUGUAGCAAAUUCAAUUGAAUAGUUGUGUUAAAUCAGCUGAUUAUUAAGUGCUGGUUAAGUGCUACUAAGAAUCACGUAACCUAAUCUUGUAAUUUACUGUAAAAAUAUGAAUAAAUCCUAAAUUGCUGCUAAAUCAGGGUUGCAUAAUAAAAUCUAUUUGCAAUCACAC
ensembl:lncRNA